UAUAGCCGCCAUCCAUCCAUCCAUCCAUCCAGCGGUUCUGUAUUUCUGCUUGAUCUCUUCACUGCGGUUUUCUGCUACGGCUUUCAGAGGCUUGAAUCUAGUGUUGACAAGCGCACGCUUUCUUUAGCGUGAGCUAAGAAUAUCAGCCAUGCGAAAUCUACAGCUUCGACGGACAUUAACUAAAAAACUUUCAUUGGUAGACCCCAACUGCCGCAUUUGCUCCGACGCUGAUUCCGGAAUUGUUUACAUCGUCAGUGGAAACUGCAUCGUUUCUCUUGGGAGCGAUUUAGAGGAGACCAAAACCCUGGUUGGCGAGCUGGGCAAUGACGGCGGCGUCAUUUCAAGCUUCGUUUUCUUGUCGGAGUUCCAGUCACUUUGCGUUGGAAAAAAAUCUGGUGACAUACUGAUGUACGACGUCAAAAGUGGCAAUGCUCAAUCAGUUGGCAAUGUUACGGGUGGCAUUUUGGCCAUGCAAUGGAGUCCAGAUUAUGAACUCGUCGUUAUUGUUUCGGGUGAACAGAAGCUGUUGUUGAUGACAAAAGACUUUGACGUUAUCUCAGAAAAAGAGCUUCAUCCUGAUGAAUUUGGUCAAUGUGUUCCCAUCACUGCUGGGUGGGGCUCCAAAGAAACCCAAUUUCACGGGUCUGAAGGGAAACAGGCAGCCAAGGUUGAAGCGAAGCCCCUCAAGCCUGCCUUCUGGUGGGAUGACAAGUGUCCUCGUGUUUCAUGGCGUGGUGAUGGCCAAUACUUUGCCACUUCUUGCAUUGACCCUACUGGCGGAAAUCGUAAGCUCAGGCUAUGGAGCCGAGAUGGCAUUUUGCAGUACACAGGCGAGGAUUUGAUUGGCCUAGAACAAGCCCUUGGUUGGAAGCCAUCAGGCAGUGUGAUAGCCUCAAGCCAGCGACUACCAAACAAGCACAUGAUUGUCUUCUUUGAAAAGAAUGGUUUAAAUCAUGGAGGCUUCCAGCUGCCCUUUGCCUCUAAUGAAUUUAGGGUGAAGGAAGUAACCUGGAGUCCAGACUCUACCAUUCUGGCUGUGGUUGGGUCAAUGUUUUCAUCUGAUGAAUCAUCAUUGGCUCCCAAAGACCUGGUGCUGUUGUACAGUAUGAAGAACUACCAUUGGUACCUGAAGCAGACACUACAGUUUGGCACAAGGGAACAGGAAAGGCUUGCCGACCUUCACUGGGAUGAAGGCAGCGUACUUACUCUACAUGUGCUGUCUGUUGAUGGGCAGUACUGGCAUUACGAUUGGUCUUGUGCUGUGCACAGGAGCCACUGUGAGACAGAGGAGAGCACUGCCAAUGUGGCUGUCAUCGAUGGAGAUACUGUGUUGGUGACACUCUUCAAGGUGGCUGUUGUUCCGCCACCAAUGUGUAGCUACAGAGUCAAGACGGCUGCAUCCGUCAACGAGGUGGCAUUUGGAGUUGGGCUGCAUGAGAAUGAUUUUGUCAUUGCACUUCAGAAUGAAAGCAGCCUUGUGUUCGUGCUCAGCAACUCGGGAGACUUUGUGAAGACAUCCAGCAACCACUGCACACUGCAGCUUGAUGGUGCGGGUGGAGAAGAUGGCUUCAAGGUUACAUCAACUAUCCCUGAAUGCUAUGGGGCUUACAGAAUAAAUUUCGAUGCAAUUGAAAUACCUGAGUCUGCUAUGACCUUGCACCAUUGGACAUGGCCCUCCAAGGAUUAUUUGCUGUGUGUGUGUACAACUCAGAAAUCCCAUCAGCUGCUGCGAGUGGACAUCAGGCAUGAACAAGAAACACAUCUUGUUGCAAAAUCAUUGUGCCUAUUGAGAGACUCUGUGCUAACCAUCUCUACAAAUUCAACUGGGACUGUUGUUUGCAUUCAAUAUCAGGAUGGUAGUUGCGCUGCCCCAAACUCAGAUGGAAUAGUGGUUCCAUGGCUUUGUGGUGAUGGAAUACCACUUACGCUGCCAAGGCCUUGUGCUACUGUUGCUGUUUGUGAAGUUCUAAAACAGCCGAGAGUAAUAGCACUGUCGGAUCGUUUUGAGCUGUUCUGUGACAACGUGAAGAUAUGCGAUGACUGCACAUCCUUCAGGAUUCACGGGAAGUUCAUUCUACUGACCACACAUCGCCACACCCUGCGUUGUCUGCUGUUGGACUUUGACCUAGCAAAUCUUUUGAAUGGUGGAUCAACCGAGUCCUUAAAUGAUGCCCCACGAGAGCUGGAGAAUGGCUCAUUACUAGUGACCAGUGUUCCAGCCGACGGGCGUGUGAUUCUCCAGCUUCCACGAGGAAACCUGGAGACUAUAUCACCAAGAGUGCUUGUGUUGGACAGAGUUUGCGACCAUCUUGAUAGAAGGGAAUACAGAGAUGCAUUUCUUUUGAUGAAGGUGAAUCGAAUUGACCUAAAUCUUCUUUGUGACCAUGACCCCUCAACCUUUUUGAGCAGCUUGUCAGAGUUUGUUCAACAAGUAAAAGAGCCAACAGACCUCAACCUGUUCAUAACAGGGCUCACGGACAAAGAUGUCUCGACCACAAUGUAUGCAUCAGCCUACCGAGCCCGAAAGCGUGUGCCCUUUGUGUUCAAAAAGAACAAAAGAGAUGAAAUUUGUGACAGACUAAGAAAUGUUCUUGAGCACGUCGACUAUGACAAGUAUCUCCUCUCUGUGUUGACAUGCCAUGCUAAAAAGACAGACCCAGAGCUUGAUGAAGCAUUGUCCAAGAUCUACAGCCUUAAAGAUUCUGGGAAUAAAGCAGGCACAACAUGUGACGAAGCACUCAAGUACCUCUUCUACCUUGUGGAUAGGAAAGACCUGUUUGAUGUUGCCCUUGGGACAUACAACUUCGACAUUGUUCUCAUGGUUGCAGAAAAGUCUCAAAAGGAUCCUAAAGAGUAUGUUCCAUUUCUGAACAAGCUAAACAAGCUGGAGCCCAAUUAUCGCCGCUUCACAAUAGACAUGCACUUGGAGCGCUACAAGAAGGCCCUCAAGAACAUCAGCCUAUGUGGUGAACCACACUUCAUUGAGUGUCUUAAUCUCAUCAAAUCACAGAGGCUGUACACAACAGCACUUGGCCUCUUUCCUGAAGGUUCACAGGAAAGCAAGGAAGUAUGGGAUAUCUAUGGAGAUUACCUGUUUGAGAAGAAACACUACGAGGAGGCUGGACUUGUCUACUGGCGCUGUGAAAAACUGCAAAAGGCUGCAAGGGCCUUUGAGAUGUGCCUAAAUUGGAACUUGCUGCUUUCAACAGCUUACCAGAUGGAGUACGACCAAGACAGCCUGCAAGCCCUUGCAAACAGGACAAUAGAUGCUUUAGUACUCGCCAAACGUUACAAGGAAGCCUCUGAAAUUUCUGAAACCUUCCUAAAGGAUGAAGAAAGAACAGUUCGCAUCUUGCUUGACGCACACAUGUGGGAUGUUGCACUGGCAAAGAUUCACCAUUUCAACAAGUUGGAGUUCACUGAGAAGUUGUGGAAGCCGGCUGUCAACAGCGAGCUUGAAUUCAUGUUGGAAACUGUGGAUUCACUGAAGGCCACAUGGUCCAAGCAUGUGGCACGGCUAAUGAUUGUUCGUGAGCACAAAGCCAAUGAGGAACAAGGGGAGGGAGAUCUGGACGAUGGUGCAUUUUCCGACGUGGCAAGCGUGACAUCCAGGACAGUCGGUGGGAGCGUUGCUGGUGGCAGCUUCAUUUCGGGAUCGAUUGCCACCAUGAGGACAUCAAGGAAUCGUAAGAAACAAGAGCGCAAAAAGUAUGUGCUGAAGGAAGGCUCCCGUUAUGAGGACUUGGCACUCAUCAUUGCACUUGGUGAAGUGGCCUCUUCAUCUGACAAACUACAAGAGGAGUGCAGGGACCUUCUGCGUGCUCUGGUGCUAUGUGGCUUGGAUCAAGAGGCCAGGAGCCUACAACAUCUGUUUGCAGCACUGCUAGACAUCAUAGAAAAGGAUAUUCCCAAUGUUUGGCCUCCAGAAACAGCUGAAAGCACACUGCCUCUUGGUCCCCACUCGUCAUCAACAAUGAUUGCUGAAGCAGUUCAGAAACAAAGAAUUGUGGAGCAUGUGAUAUCAGAUCCGGCACUUCGACAACCACCUACACUUCGAAGAAACCUUUGCUGGAAACUUCAGAUGCUAACCUGAUCAACUGUGAACAUUUAGUGCAAUGUAUGAAGAGUAAUGUACAGCAGUUGACUGGGAAAGCUUAAAAGUCCACACAGGCAGACAAUAGAGACGAACAGUGAAAAACAGUCACCUAGUCUGCUUAAAUUGAUCAGAAUACUAGCAAACGCUUGUGUGGCUCGGUGGUAGAGUAGCCAACUACUAUGCAGUGGGCCCAGUUUCAAUCCCGGCAGGAACUGGGAAUCAUUUUUUCUCACUCCCACUGAUAGCUGCUACGGACACCAUCGCCAAGUGAAACUGCUACUGGAAUGAACUCAUAACCGCUUGCGCUGUAAAAUGUUUUAAAGCUCUUGAAAGAUGGGGUCGGCAUGAGAUUGCAAGAAAUGCACGCAAAAAAAAAAAGGAAUACGGUUAGGACUGCUUAUAAGUGAAAUAGGACAAUGUCCUAUUCUCGACUGUGGCAUGGUCCUUCUGUUUCACUUGUAAGCAGUUUCACAACAUAUGCGCAUUUCACAUAUUAUUCUUUGCCUUAUUAUAUAUAUUUUAAAAAUUUCCCCUCACCUACAGUCUUUUUACAACUGCUUUUUACAAAUGUACUACUUUUUACAAAUGUAAACGUGUAUUUGGUAUUAGAAUAGUUUUGAUUUGGCUGAAAUUUUAGCUUAAUAUAAUGCUUUUCAUUGUAACACUCCUCAGAAGGGUCAGACAGCACUGCUUCUGUGCUGAUAUAAUCAUGUACUAUUUAAUUACAUUUGAGACCAAAACAGUGUUUUCAGAGAUCAAGGGACCACUUUGAGUCAGGCAUAAUAUUCUUGAUGUCAUUGUGUUUUUCAGUAAAAUUGAGACAAAUA